GUACAUCCAGGUACUGAGCCUCCUGUCCAGCUGAAUAAGUUAGUCCACUGGGCUCUCAAAGUAUAAAUUCUGAGCCGUCUCAGGAUGCAUGCACGUUUGCUCAAUCUGUAAACACGUAAUUAUUGAACUUGCCUUCUAAAGUAACACCACACCCUGGAUGUGAUGCAAAACCCAGCAUUACAAGAUAAGCUCUGUCUCAAGUUUCUGCUCGUUAUAGUGCCUGAAGUAUUUGCUCAUAAGCUCAGGGACUGAAGCAGAAGUAAACAGUCGGGCCAGUAUUAUAGGGACACCUGUGUUACAAAACUUUCUUACAUUGUGAAAGCAAUGAAUGAAGUUCAGCAGGACUCCUGUAAGAAUGCCGAUUCAUCCCACAUCGCGUUGGUCAAACAGGACUUCGACCUUAUCGCCUCCCUCUCUCCCUCACCCGCCCAGGUGAACGCCAAGAAGACAGAAAAGAAGAUCUGUCCUCCUCUCUGAAAUCCAAGUGCUCAAAGCAGGGCUGAUGGGGAGCAGGUGAUCAAUAAACACUGUUGAAGCGAAGGA